AUUGAACGCUGGCGGCAUGCCUAACACAUGCAAGUCGAACGGCAGCAUAGUCUAGCUUGCUAGAUGGGUGGCGAGUGGCGAACGGGUGAGUAACGCGUAGGAAUAUACCUUGAAGUGGGGGACAACCUGGGGAAACUCAGGCUAAUACCGCGUAAUCUCUUAGGAGGGAAGCUGGGGACCGAGAGGCCUGGCGCUUUAAGAUUAGCCUGCGUCCGAUUAGCUAGUUGGUGAGGUAAGGGCUCACCAAGGCGACGAUCGGUAGCUGGUCUGAGCGGAGGAUCAGCCACACUGGGACUGAGACACGGCCCAGACUCCUACGGGAGGCAGCAGUGGGGAAUAUUGGACAAUGGGGGCAACCCUGAUCCAGCAAUGCCGCGUGUGUGAAGAAGGCCUGAGGGUUGUAAAGCACUUUCGGCGGGGAGGAGGGUGAGUUGGUUAAGAGCUGACUUACUGGACGUUACCCGCAUAAGAAGCACCGGCUAACUCCGUGCCAGCAGCCGCAGUAACAC
rnacentral:rRNA from 1 species